rnacentral:rRNA from 1 species
UACGUAGGGGGCUAGCGUUGUCCGGAAUCAUUGGGCGUAAAGCGCGUGUAGGCGGCCCGAUAAGUCCGCUGUGAAAGUCCAGGGCUCAACCCUGGGAUGCCGGUGGAUACUGUCGGGCUCGAGUCCGGAAGAGGCGAGUGGAAUUCCUGGUGGUAGCGGUGAAAUGCGCAGAUAUCAGGAGGAACACCAAUGGCGAAGGCAGCUCGCUGGAACGUUACUGACGCUGAGACGCGAAAGCGUGGGGAGCAAACAGG